rnacentral:sRNA from 1 species
CUACAAGGAGAAGAAAAAAAGCACCGCCUACGCAGCCAACAACUAAAG